UUAAAGGAAGUUCGACGGGGGCCCGCACAAGCGGUGGAGUAUGUGGUUAAUUCGAUGCAACGCGAAGAACCUUACCUGGUCUUGACAUCCCGGAGACCCUUAGGAAACUAGGGGGUGCUUCCAUCUGGAAGAAUCUGGAGACAGGUGCUGCAUGGCUGUCGUCAGCUCGUGUCGUGAGAUGUUGGGUUAAGUCCCGCAACGAGCGCAACCCUUGCCUUUAGUUGCCAGCAGUUCGGCUGGGCACUCUAAAGGGACUGCCGGUGUUAAACCGGAGGAAGGUGGGGAUGACGUCAAGUCCUCAUGGCCUUUAUGACCAGGGCUACACACGUACUACAAUGGCCGAUACAAAGGGCAGCGACACUGCGAGGUGAAGCCAAUCCCGUAAAAUCGGUCUCAGUCCGGAUUGGAGUCUGCAACUCGACUCCAUGAAGUUGGAAUCGCUAGUAAUCGUGGAUCAGCAUGCCACGGUGAAUACGUUCCCGGGCCUU
rnacentral:rRNA from 1 species